GCCUUUUGAGGAGACACGAGAAGAUGAUCUCUCUCCCUUUGCCAUGUGAAGAUACAGUGAGGAGGCAUCCGUCUGCAAGCCAGGAAAAGGGCCUUUACCAGGAGACAGCUGACCUUGGCAUUCCCAGCCUCCAGAAUGGUGAGAAUUUUUUUGCAGCAGCUCAAGCUAAGACAUUUAUUGUGAAGCAUUGUGGAGAUGAGAGUGUACCCUUGGAUGAUAUAUAAUUUAAGAAGCUGGGGUACAGAGGGCCUGGGCAGGGCCCUACGUGUAGCCAAUGGAAGGACCCAAGAUGCCUGGAUUUGGACCAGUGGAACCUGUUAAUAUCUGAUUCCCUGAGAGAAUGCUCCUGCAAAUCUAAUAGGCCAUGUUUCCAUCCACAUCUCAGUGUGACCAGAACAAGGACUCAAGAGAUGUUUGUGAACUGCGCAAAUGAUUGGACUUUACUCCUUUCCAUCCUGUCUUUUUUUUCCUCCUCUUUUCUUGAUGGUCCAAUUUUCAACUUUUUGGAAACAGCAAGUUAAACAGUAGCAAAAGCCAAAA